CAGUAGCCACGGUAAUACGAGGGGAGCUAGCGUUGUUCGGAAUUACUGGGCGUAAAGCGCGCGUAGGCGGCUUUUUAAGUCAGAGGUGAAAGCCCGGGGCUCAACCCCGGAAUUGCCUUUGAAACUGGAAAGCUAGAAUCUUGGAGAGGUCAGUGGAAUUCCGAGUGUAGAGGUGAAAUUCGUAGAUAUUCGGAAGAACACCAGUGGCGAAGGCGACUGACUGGACAAGUAUUGACGCUGAGGUGCGAAAGCGUGGGGAGCAAACAGGAUUAGAUACCCCUGUAGUCCCUGUCUCUUAUAC
rnacentral:rRNA from 1 species